UCAUAGUGGCGCAGGAUCUGCAGUUCUAA
rnacentral:piRNA from 1 species